AACGAGCGCUGGCGGCAGGCCUAACACAUGCAAGUCGAGCGAGGACUUCGGUCCUAGCGGCGGACGGGUGAGUAACGCGUGGGAACGUGCCCUUUGCUUCGGAAUAGCCCUGGGAAACUGGGAGUAAUACCGGAUGAGCCCUUUGGGGGAAAGAUUUAUCGGCGAAGGAUCGGCCCGCGUUGGAUUAGGUAGUUGGUGGGGUAAUGACCUACCAAGCCGACGAUCCAUAGCUGGUUUGAGAGGAUGAUCAGCCACACUGGGACUGAGACACGGCCCAGACUCCUACGGGAGGCAGCAGUGGGGAAUCUUAGACAAUGGGGAAAACCCUGAUCUAGCCAUGCCGCGUGAGCGAUGAAGGCCUUAGGGUUGUAAAGCUCUUUCAGCUGGGAAGAUAAUGACGGUACCAGCAGAAGAAGCCCCGGCUAACUCCGUG
rnacentral:rRNA from 1 species